rnacentral:rRNA from 1 species
UACGAAGGGGGCUAGGCGUUGCUCGGAAUUACUGGGCGUAAAGGGCGCGUAGGCGGACAGUUUAGUCAGAGGUGAAAGCCCAGGGCUCAACCUUGGAAUUGCCUUUGAUACUGGCUGUCUUGAGUUCGGGAGAGGUGGAGUGGAAUGCCGAGUGUAGAGGUGAAAUUCGUAGAUAUUCGGCGGAACACCAGUGGCGAAGGCGGAACUCACUGGCCCGAGUACCU